GACGAACGCUGGCGGCGUGCCUAAUACAUGCAAGUAGAACGCUGAAGGAGGAGCUUGCUCUUCUGGAUGAGUUGCGAACGGGUGAGUAACGCGUAGGUAACCUGCCUGGUAGCGGGGGAUAACUAUUGGAAACGAUAGCUAAUACCGCAUAACAACAGUUGUUGCAUGACAGCUGUUUAAAAGAUGCAAUUGCAUCACUACCAGAUGGACCUGCGUUGUAUUAGCUAGUUGGUGAGGUAACGGCUCACCAAGGCAACGAUACAUAGCCGACCUGAGAGGGUGAUCGGCCACACUGGGACUGAGACACGGCCCAGACUCCUACGGGAGGCAGCAGUAGGGAAUCUUCGGCAAUGGACGGAAGUCUGACCGAGCAACGCCGCGUGAGUGAAGAAGGUUUUCGGAUCGUAAAGCUCUGUUGUAAGAGAAGAACGAGUGUGAGAGUGGAAAGUCACAC
rnacentral:rRNA from 1 species